rnacentral:rRNA from 1 species
UACGAGUGGUUCAAGCGUUAUCCGGUUUUAUUGGGCGUAAAGGGUGCGUAGGCGGUUUUACAAGUCCGGUGUUAAACCCUGGUGCUCAACAUCAGGACUGCAUUGGAUACUGUAAAGCUAGAGUCCGGGAGAGGUCAGUAGAAUUGCUGGUGUAGUAGUAAAAUGCGUUAAUAUCAGCAGGAAUACCAAAGGCGAAGGCAUCUGACUAGAACGGUACUGACGCUAAGGCACGAAAGCGUGGGGAGCGAAUGGG